rnacentral:tRNA from 1 species
GAUAAAAUGGCUGAGUUAGGCAAUAAAUUGUAAAUUUAUUAACGAAUAUCCAAAAUUCUUUUAUCA